GGAUCAAUUUACUGGUCGUGCCUACGGUACGUACUGGUUUUGUUGAUUCCUCUCUUCUGAGGAGCCGUGAUGUCAUUAACUUGGUGUCGCGGGGAACCAGGACUGUUACUUUGAAAAAAUUAGAGUGUUUAAAGCGGGCAUUUGCUUGAAUACAUUAGCAUGGAAUAAUGAAAUAGGACGGACGGUUCUAUUUUGUUGGUUAUGGGACCACCGUA
rnacentral:rRNA from 1 species